rnacentral:rRNA from 1 species
UACCCGCAGCUCAAGUGGUGGUCAUUAUUAUUGGGCCUAAAGCGUCCGUAGCUGGCCUGUUAGAUGCCUGGGUAAAUCGAAGCGCUCAACGUUUCGACUUCCGGGUAGACCGGCAGGCUCGGGACCGGGAGAGGUGUAGGGUACUCGGGGGGUAGGGGUAAAAUCCUGUAAUCCUCCGGGGACGACCCGUGGCGAAGGCGCUACACUAGAACGGCUCCGACAGUGAGGGACGAAGCCCUGGGGCGCAAACCGG